rnacentral:rRNA from 1 species
AACGAACGCUGGCGGCAGGCUUAACACAUGCAAGUCGAACGGGCGUAGCAAUACGUCAGUGGCAGACGGGUGAGUAACACGUGGGAAUAUCCCUCUCAGUUCGGAAUAACUCAGGGAAACUUGAGCUAAUACCGGAUACGUCCUUCGGGAGAAAGAUUUAUCGCUGGGAGAUUAGCCCGCGUCUGAGUAGCUGGUUGGUGAGGUAAUGGCUCACCAAGGCGACGAUCAGUAGCUGGGCUGAGAGGAUGAUCAGCCAACCUGGGACCGAGACACGGCCCAGCCUCCUACGGGAGGCAGCAGUGGGGAAUAUUGGACAAUGGGGGCAACCCUGAUCCAGCCAUGCCGCGUGAGUGAUGAAGGCCUUAGGGUUGUAAAGCUCUUUUGCCAGGGAAGAUAAUGACUAUACCUGGAGAAUAAGCCCCGGCUAACUUCGUGCCAGCAGCCGCAGUAA